UACAGGGGGGGGCAAGCGUUGUUCGGAAUUACUGGGCGUAAAGGGUCUGUAGGUGGCCAACUAAGUCAGACGUGAAAUCCCUCAGCUUAACUGGGGAACUGCGUCUGAUACUGGAUGGCUCGAGUGUGGGAGAGGAAUGCGGAAUUCCAGGUGUAGCGGUGAAAUGCGUAGAUAUCUGGAGGAACACCGGUGGCGAAGGCGGCAUUCUGGACCAUAACUGACACUGAGAGACGAAAGCCAGGGGAGCAAACGGG
rnacentral:rRNA from 1 species